rnacentral:lncRNA from 1 species
UGCCAUUGUGCUUCCCCAGUUUGGGAAAUAUAUAUUCUUUUUACUUGAGGUUAUCUAGAUUAAAUUCUUCACCUUCUGUGCUGCAAUAUUCGAGUUUUCUUCCACUACAGUCCUUGGAGCACAACCAGAACUCUGAUUGUGCUGUAAUUGGAUCUUGAGAUGAAAUUAAUUCCACCUCUUUCUCUGGUCCAGAAGUUAGACAGCCACUUGAAGUUAUUUCGUGGAUAAUCAGUGGAAGGAGAAGGAGGUCUCCAGAGGAAAAUUCAUCCCAUUUUAAGAUAGCUAUUUGAAGAAAAUUCAAGUUGCUAAGCAACCUCAUCUGGAUUCCUUUACUCUCACAGACUAUGGAGGGAACCUUGCUGAGAAAGUCAACUGUUUGCCUACCUUCCAACUGCUUAUGGAAAUGAUAUGGUACUUGGGAGAUCAAGACUACAACUCUUCUGACUACAUAGAUGACUGCAACUAAUACAUAGAUGCCUUAGAGAAAACACAAAAAUGCUCUCUAAGAUAAUGAAAAAAAGAGAUAUAUCUGAAAAAGAAGGAAAAUUCAAAAUUAUUCAGAUCAAGUGUGUCCUUAACACAUCGACUUUCCUGGCUGUGGGAGCUCAGUAAAAAGAGAAUCAGCAUAAGGUGAAGCAUAUCUC